UGGGGAAUCUUGCGCAAUGGGCGAAAGCCUGACGCAGCCAUGCCGCGUGAAUGAUGAAAGUCUUAGGAUUGUAAAAUUCUUUCACCGGGGACGAUAAUGACGGUACCCGGAGAAGAAGCCCCGGCUAACUUCGUGCCAGCAGCCGCGGUAAUACGAAGGGGGCUAGCGUUGCUCGGAAUUACUGGGCGUAAAGGGCGCGUAGGCGGACAGUUAAGUCGGGGGUGGAAGCCCGGGGCUCAACCUCGGAAUUGCUUUCGAUACUGGCUGUCUUGAGUACGGGAGAGGUGUGUGGAACUCCGAGUGUAGAGGUGAAAUUCGUAGAUAUUCGGAAGAACACCAGUGGCGAAGGCGACACACUGGCCCGUUACUGACGCUGAGGCGCGAAAGCGUGGGGAGCAAACAG
rnacentral:rRNA from 1 species